rnacentral:pre_miRNA from 1 species
AUAAUACCCCCUCCGUCCGGAAUUACUUGUCAUCAAAAUGGAUGUGUCUAGAACUAAAAUACAUCUAGAUACAUCCAUUUCAAUGACAAGUAUUUUCGGACAGAGGGAGUAGUAG